UACGGAGGGUGCAAGCGUUGUUCGGAUUUACUGGGCGUAAAGCGCGCGCAGGUGGGUGUGCAAGUCGGAAGUGAAAUCUUGAGGCUCAACCUCGAGGCUGCUCCCGAAACUGCACGCCUAGGGACUGGUAGAGGCUGGUAGAAUUCCUGGUGUAGCGGUGGAAUGCGCAGAUAUCAGGAGGAACACCGGUGGCGAAGGCGGGUCUCUGGGCAGUAACUGACGCUGAGGAGCGAAAGCGUGGGGAGCGAACAGG
rnacentral:rRNA from 1 species